CACCAAAAUACUGUUUUCCCUCUCACAUAUUUAACUCUCCCUCCAACUAUCAAUGAGCAAAAAAUAUUUUUAAAAAUUAACUCUCAAAUUUCUUUACCCAAAGCACUCACAAAACACUCUCCACGUAACCUUUCAGAAAAUUCUUAUAAUUGACUGCUCACAAUUAGUACCUAAAUUAUUUAUGAAAUUAGUAUCUACUUCUUUGAGAAAUCACUACUUAAAUUAUCUAUCCGAUUUACAAAAUAAGACGAUGGACAUCUGUUUCAUCAGAUCUGAAGGAAUUUUGUAGGAAUGUAGUUCAUCUUGUAAUAGUUUCUAUCAUUUAAGAUCUAGAUUUACUGAAUGUAGAGAAACCAAACAAUUUUUCUUGAGCAACUAAAAGGAACCAGCUAGCAUCUAGGUUUAUUGCGUGGGAUUUGAUGUUUUUGUCUUGCUGAUAAUAUUUGGGUUGAUUUUUGGUUCUUUACUGAUGGCUUAUUAGUUGUUCAACAUUGUAAGGAAGUUUAUGCCAUUUAUGCACUGAUGCAAAAUUGGAAAUUUUAUUAUAUUUGUUGCUUUAUUCAGUUGAUGUUUGCUGAAGAAAUCUUAAAUUAUUUCAAAAAGGAUUGACUUCUAUCAAAAAGUAAAAGUGUAGAACAAAUAAUUUUCUUCUAGAUUAAAUCUUUUGGCAUAACAUUUUCCUUAGGGCUGUUGUUAUUGAGAAGAAUCCUAAUGCCACCUCCAUCUGGUUUCUCUUUUUCUUGACUUUGCGUUUUCGUCAACUUUAAUUUGUAGUUCUAUCCAGGUGAGCUUGCUUUUCACAUGUAUAGAUUUUUUUCCUUGAUUCUAUUUUUGUUACUUGAUUUUGCAUUAUUUGUUGUUUUUCUUGUAUUCUACAUCAAACAAACCUAAUGCCACCUCCAUCUGGUUUCUCUUUUUCUGGACUUUGCAUUUUCGCGGACUUUGUAGCUCUAUCUAGAUGAGCUUACUUUUCACUUGUAUUGAUUUUGAUUCCUUUAUUCUAUUUCUUUUACUUGAUUUUGGAAUAUUUGAUGUUUUUCUUGUAUUCCACAAUUUUUUGGACCUCUUGACUCCUCGUAUUUUUGCCUUUUCCCCAUCUUCUUAACUCCUCUUUGUCUUAACUUUGGUUUUUUGUUCUUACUAAGCAUCUGUUGCUCUCACGAGAAUUAAUUUAUAUAGCAGUAAUUUCAUAAAAAAAGAUUAUAAUUUUGUAGGUCUUAACUAAUAGUUCUGUAUAUUUAUAUCGACUCUAAAGAGCAAUAGUCAAUUUGCUCUACAGUGCAGAGGUCGAUAAUUCAAGAACUCAAAUACUCUACCACCAUUAUUCCUAGGAGCUUCCAAGUAGACAUUAGUUUUCAUUUCCAGCAUUUUUUUUUCAUUUGAAAAAACUUUCCUGUAGCUGCAAUGCUUCUUUAGGUCUACAUGCAUGCAACACAUAUUCAUAAAUCAGUAAUCCUUUACUAUACAGAGUCUCAAAAUUAUCCUUCAAUCAUAUAGUGUUUGUUUAAAUUUAUAUGUUCCCUCUGCACAUUUAUUCACCAACAACCUUUAUGCAAAUCUAAAUACAUAGAUAAGGUAAGAAUCUUGGGUCGUUUUGGUUGUUUAUUAAUCUUCUUAAGUUUGUAAUCAUGUACCAAAAAGUAUUUUUUUGGGUGUGUUUUCUUUAUUAUGAGAGACUGUUUUUGAACCCCAUGAUAUUGGAUAAGCAAAAUUUGAAGAAAAAAAUAAAAUUCAUAGCCUCUGUUCUUGAUCCUGAUUUGUUUAAUACAUGAUUUAUGUAUAAGCUUUUUCAUGUUCUCAUUGUUUUAUUCUUUGUAACUCUGGGCUUAACAGAGUAAUUUCUUUUUGAUGACCCUCGGGUCGAAUCAGCUUGCACAAAGCUUGACUAAUUCCACAGAGUAUGUGACUUGGACAGGGGAAUAAAUCACCUCAAGAAGUUUAUUUUAUGAUUUUUUUACGAGGGGUUUUACCAAAAAUAGGGAAAUGUUUAACUGCAUGUCUCUGACAUCAUAGCAUACUUUUUCUGGAUAAGUUUUUUAUAACCUUGAUGUUUCUUCAAUUGUUUAUAGUGAAGUAUAUAUAUAUACAUAUAUCUUUUGGUACAUAUUUUAUAGAUAUUGUCAUUGAGCUUGUAGGUUAGCACAAAAGUACAGGCUGGUACAGUUGAAAGUGCACCAUCAUUGUGAUUGACAGAAGGUGCCUUGAUAAUAAAGUGAAAGGUUACAAGUAACAUUUGGAGGGAAACAUGGCUAGCAUCGAAGAUAUUAUUCCGUCAUCUGUGCUCAAUCUUUUGGUGAUAUAAUGUAGGCAGUCCAUUUUGGUUAGCAGUGCAAUUUUGUAUUGAUGUCUAUAUAUAUGCAGGAAUAUGUACAUCUAAAAAAGGUGAAAAUUCAGCCUCAUUGACAUGAAAUUAUUUCUCUGGGCCUAACAAGAAUAGUAUAUUACAUACUGAUUUGACCCUAGAGACCUUUACCUCUUCUUUUGAAUGUAUUAUAAUCUCCGUAACCUUUUUUUUGGUGCCAACUUAGCUAAUAAUGCCUUGAUUGAGAGCAAUCCAACAUGAUAAGCAUGUCAUCUUGCAAUUUAAUCUUCAAAAAUUCUCUUUUCCGUCACUGAUGGAUGCAUCCACAUGGAUUGGCACAUUAGAAGUUGUUCUUGACUUUUUGAAUCCAUGGAAUUCAAAUGCUUUAAGAGGAAUGGUGUGGCAGACUUUUCGUGAAAGGUAUGUCUUACAAUAGAGUAUAACAUGUUGAGUAUAUGAUGCAAUGCUUAAUUCUGUAGUUAUCUAAUCUAAGACUUUAAGCUUAUUCGAGAGACUGCACUUUUAUAUAGUUGAUUAUGUCUCCAAGUUGACCCUUCAUAAAAAAAAUGUGGCUAAGUACACAAUGUAACAUCUAUACUGAUUAUAUCCUCAAGGUGGUUUCUUAAUUAUUUUGAACUUCUUCCUCAUGAAGUUUGUCAUUCCCAGCUGCUCCAAAAUGUAGCUUCCUUUCGCUACUGCUACUAGUUUAUUAUAUAUUUAGAAGUGUUGAGUAAUGUCUGAUGUAUGACUCCAGUUCGAAAGGUAAUCAGAAGAGGAGCUAUCCUCUCUGUAUGAAUGUUUUACACUGGAAAUAUUCAAGGCUGGUUGUGAUCUGCUGCAGCUUUUUGAUGAAGUUAUGAAGUUGCCAUGGAGGAAUACUAUUAGCAGUGAUCCACUUCAUGAAUAGUUUAGAGUCCACCUCUAAAAUGAUCUUCAUGUAUCGAUGUUGCAUACACCAGUUAACUCCAUGUAUGACUUGUUGUGUCUCAGCCUGGUUGUUGGUACCAAUGUCAAGGGGAACAACAAAUGCAUACACCAACUUUCCUUGGUGAUCUCUUAAAAUUCCACCUCCACCGAUCUUGCCUGAAUUAUUGAGAGCACUCCCAUCUGUAUUUAGCUUGUAAAUACCGUUGCAAACUCUUUCCUAAUGAACUAGUAUAAAUUUAGUUUCAUGACUACAAUUUUCCACCAUAAAGAUAAGAUCAUUCCAAUUGUGUGACCUCUGGAUAAAGAGGAAAACAAUGUUGAAAAUUUGAAGGAUAUUUUUGCAGAUUAGGAACUUCACUCUCCU